CUCCGCUCGCCGCCGCCGCACGCCGCUCGCCGCCAAGACCUUCGCCGUCGCCUUCCCGCCGGAAAAUAAGGCCUUCCGGUGGUUUGAGGCCGCGGAGACCGUCGGAAAAUGUUAAGGAACUGAGGAGAAGCAAGUCGGAGCCAACUCCGGGGAAUCAUUCCGAGGUGUCAAGAUCAUUCCAGGUGAUUCUUGGUUUGGAGUUUAUUGUAAAGUUAUGGUCUUUAGUCUUUACACACUUUGAUAUAGAUUGAAAUAGAUGGAGAAUGAUGAUGAGGA